rnacentral:rRNA from 1 species
GAGUUUGAACCUGGCUCAGGAUGAACGCUGGCGGCGUGCCUAACACAUGCAAGUCGAACGAAGCGCUAUUUCGGAAGCUUUUCGGAGUGAAAGAGAAAGUGACUGAGUGGCGGACGGGUGAGUAACGCGUGGGCAACCUACCCCACACAGGGGGACAACAGCUGGAAACGGCUGCUAAUACCGCAUAGGCGCACAGCUUCGCAUGAAGGAGUGUGGAAAGCAAUGGCGGUGUGGGAUGGGCCCGCGUCUGAUUAGCUGGUUGGUGAGGCAGAGGCUCACCAAGGCGACGAUCAGUAGCCGGCCUGAGAGGGCGGACGGCCACAUUGGGACUGAGACACGGCCCAGACUCCUACGGGAGGCAGCAGUGGGGGAUAUUGCACAAUGGGGGGAACCCUGAUGCAGCGACGCCGCGUGAGCGAAGAAGUAUUUCGGUAUGUAAAGCUCUAUCAGCAGGGAAGAAAAUGACGGUACCUGAGUAAGAAGCCCCGGCUAAAUA